ACAAGGGAUCGACGGGAGGAUUACUGUGGCGUAAUGCGCAUGCAGGUGGUUUGUUAAGUCAGAUGUGAAAGCCCGGGGCUCAACCUCGGAAUUGCAUUUGAAACUGGCAGACUAGAGUACUGUAGAGGGGGGUAGAAUUUCAGGUGUAGCGGUGAAAUGCGUAGAGAUCUGAAGGAAUACCGGUGGCGAAGGCGGCCCCCUGGACAGAUACUGACACUCAGAUGCGAAAGCGUGGGGAGCAAACAGGAUUAGAUACCCUGGUAGUCCACGCCGUAAACGAUGUCUACUUGGAGGUUGUGGCCUUGAGCCGUGGCUUUCGGAGCUAACGCGUUAAGUAGACCGCCUGGGGAGUACGGUCGCAAGAUUAAAACUCAAAGGAAUUUGACGGGAGUGGG
rnacentral:rRNA from 1 species